UGAGUCCCGCAGAUCAUGCAAGCAAGCAGUUGCAAUGUCUAGCAUGCAAGCCCAAUUUUACUACUUCUCAUGAGACAACAUCAUACCUUGGGUUGUUGCUUGGGUUUGGUGCUGCCCAGGUGUGCAGCCAUGGCAUGAGGAGCGUGGUCGCGAUGGUGAAGUCCUAUGUUGCCAAGUUGCCAUAGAACUCGGCAAAGUCGUCAUAUUUCAUUCCACUGACGGCCAGGAAUUCCUCAAACGCUUUGGUGGCCUUACAGGGUGUUUCCACUUGGCCGAACACUAACACUAAGUUUGAAUGUUCUUCGUCCUGGACUCGUCUCUCGCCGUUCUAAAUGCAUAUAUUGAUACUACUAAUGAUAGUAGGAAAUAUUCAUCAAACAAAUUGGAGGUUGGGGCACUCCUGGCGGAGAACCGUAAGGCCUAGUGGAAACACCCCGUACACUAAGUCCACACUAGCGCACACUAAAGUUAAUUGGACCUCAGACCUGCCAUUAACUAUAGUACCUAGCACUAACUAUUUGGCGGGCAACUUUUAUGAGCUGGAUUGUCCCUUCUGACCAUAGACUUUAGACGUAAGCAGCUAUCUUUUUUCCUUCCUGCAAACUCCGCGUUGACUUGCGCACGCCCAACACCGACAGCCUCAGAACACCGCCAUUUUGCAAUGGAGCCCUCCUUCAAUAACGUUCAGCAAACAUAUACCGCUAGUUUGCCUUCCUUCGCUGGCCGGCGGUUGCCAAUGCACCAUGCGGACUUCAUGGCGGACAUCAUGACGCAGGCUGCGCCGCAGCGGAUCUUAAAUACGCGAAUUCUUACAGACCUUGGCAAUUAUCAGCAAUUAAUCCCUGGCGCUAAAACGUUCAAAAUACGAAAACAAUUUUGGUUUCGGCGCUCCUUAGUGCCGCUAGUGGAAACACCGUCACACUAAGUCCACACUAGCACAUAGUGUACCGAAGAUAGUGUUAGGACAAGUGGAAACACCCUGUUAUCACCAGCAGCACUGCAAACGUUGCUGGGCACGUUUAAAAUGUACCGCUCAUCUGAUGAACCAGUGCAAUGGCUGAUGAUGCCACUCACUUGUCAUUCGUUGG
rnacentral:lncRNA from 1 species